UACGGAGGAUGCAAGCGUUAUCCGGAUUUAUUGGGUUUAAAGGGUGCGCAGGUUGUUUGAUAAGUCAGUGGUGAAAGUCUGUCGCUUAACAGUAGGAUUGCCAUUGAUACUGUUGGACUUGAAUAUGGAUGAGGUAGGCGGAAUGUGUAGUGUAGCGGUGAAAUGCAUAGAUAUUACACAGAACACCGAUUGCGAAGGCAGCUUACUAAUCCAUCAUUGACGCUGAGGCACAAAAGCGUGGGGAUCAAA
rnacentral:rRNA from 1 species